rnacentral:rRNA from 1 species
GAUGAACGCUAGCGGCAGGCUUAAUACAUGCAAGUCGAGGGGCAGCAGGACUGUAGCAAUACAGUUGCUGGCGACCGGCAAACGGGUGCGGAACACGUACGCAACUUACCCUUGUCUGGGGCAUAGCCCACCGAAAUGUGGAUUAACUCCCCAUAAGCUAGCGGUGUGGCAUCACACGGCUCUUAAAACUCUGGUGGACAAGGAUGGCCGUGCGGCUGAUCAGGGAGUUGGUGUGGUGAACGACCCACCAAGCCGGCGAUCAGUAACGGGUGGGCGAGCACGACCAGUCACACGGGCACUGAGACACGGGCCCGACUCCUACGGGAGGCAGCAUUAAGGAAUAUUGGUCAAUGGAGGCAACUCUGAACCAGCCAUGCCGCGUGGAGGAUGAAGGCCCUCUGGGUUGUAAACUUCUUUUACAGGGGACGAAACACUUCUAUUCUUAGGAGCUUGACGGUACCCUGGGAAUAAGCACCGGCUAACUUCGUGCCAGCCGCCGCAGUAAUAC